CAACGAAGAACUAAUGAAACAUAACAAUGAAAGUAGGUAAAAGAUGCUCCUUCACCGCUGUGAAAUCACUGGAUAGGCUAGCAAUGUAUUCUGUUUUAAAAUCCUUAUUAAAUCAAAAUAUACUUUAUCCUUAUUCAAUUAAGAACUUUUCAGAAGAUUUUUCAUAAAUGUUAUUCUUAAGUUUGAAAGAAGAGUUUAUUCGAACACUAACUAAUGUCAUUUAAAGAUCUUAGUUGUCUUAUUCUUCCAUACUGAGUACCAAUAGAAUUAUAUUUUCAUUUAUUUUAUAAAUUCAAAUCUCACGUUAAUUUCGUAACCGCCUUAAAACAACAAUUAUAAGAAAAAAAAUCGUAGUCGAUAGGUUCAAUGGCCUCCCGGCUAUUUAUAACUCUGAGUAGGUGAAUUAAACUGAAAUCAAAUAAACAGUUAUAAUGUUUUGAUGUGUAAGAAUUAACACGAAUAAUUUUAUUAUUCUUUAUAACGUGUGGGUAUUACGUGAGAUGUUUUCAUAGUAGAUUAUCGAACAAACUCACGACUCACAUGGUGUUAAGCGGUAAUGGAAAUCCAAGUUAGUCAAUUCAAGUAAUUUGUCGAAGUCAGUGUAGUAGGUAGAUAUUUUGUUGAUUUUACUCACACAUCUGUGCUAUAGUUUCGCUACGGGAAAAAGGCCUUGUUUAUAGCAUUAGAUGGUCCACCAAGGUCACAGUUCAGAAGGGGUUUAUCGGUUACCGGUAUGUGGACAUCACAACGUGAAUUCCGCCAUGCAACUUGAAACAUGAGGUCUAAGUCUAAGUAAGUGUAUUGGAUAAAGUUUAACUCUUCGAGCCGGAAGGCAUGGUUACUUCUCAGUAGAAAUAGGAUGAUAAUCAUAUUUUUCAUCCAUAUGUUAAUACGUGAAGCAAAAACUUUGUAGCCCUUUUUCUGAAAAUUGCGCAGACGGAGGAGUAUGAAAUUUCCCACAUUUAUAGUGAAUAUAGAAAAGGAGUGCAGAAUGCUAAUCUUUUUUUUAAUUUAUGCAUAAAUAAUACAUUAAAUCAAUAAAGGAAACACACACUACCAUUUAUUUGACACACACGCA